rnacentral:rRNA from 1 species
GAUGAACGCUAGCGGGAGGCUUAACACAUGCAAGUCGAGGGGCAGCAUAGGGUAGCAAUACUCUGAUGGCGACCGGCAAACGGGUGAGUAACGCGUAUGCAACCUACCCUGUACAGGGGGAUAACCCGGAGAAAUUCGGACUAAUAUCCCGUAAUAAUAUCCGGAGGCAUCUUUGGAUAUUUAAAGUUCCGACGGUACGGGAUGGGCAUGCGUAACAUUAGCUGGUUGGUAAGGUAACGGCUUACCAAGGCUAUGAUGUUUAGGGGUCCUGAGAGGGUGGUCCCCCACACUGGUACUGAGACACGGACCAGACUCCUACGGGAGGCAGCAGUGAGGAAUAUUGGUCAAUGCUCGAAAGAGUGACCCAGCAACGCCGCGUGGAGGAUGAAGGUAUUCUAUAUCGUAAACUCCUGUGAGAGCAGACGAAAGACAGAUUAUUAAUCUGGAUGACUGUAUGCUCAGAGGAAGCCCCGGUAACUACGUGUCAGCAGCCGAC